CCUUCCCCAAUAUACAAUUCAGGAUUAGGUGCACCCUUUCAGUUCCAGGCUUCAAGCAGGAAACAGUAGAAAACUAACUAUCCUGUAAUCUACAAAGUGCAAAUAACUAACCUAAUCCUCUUUCUCUCCAACAACAAUGCUAGGCUUAGGAUUAGGAACUCUCUCACAGCCAUUAGCGCCGCAAUUAGUUCUAAAGAAGCUUCCUUUUUUACCAUAUUCAUUCCCCAAUUCUUCUUCAUUAUCAUUAUCAUCAUGGGGUCCAACUGGGUUUCCCUUAUUUGCUCAAAAAAGUGAAAAGAUUUCAACUUUUGAUGAAGUAAUAAUGGAAAAAGGUGAAGAUUUUGAAGAUGUAGAAGAUGAAUAUGAGUUUGAUGAUGAUGAGUAUGAUUUUGAUGAGGAGGAGGAGGAGGAUUUCGAUGAUGAUGAGGAGGAGGAGGAGGAGGAGGAGGAUGAAUUGAUGGUUCCAUUUCAUUUGAUGAAUGCUUGGCUUGAGAAAAGACCAAAGGGGUUUGGUGAAGGGAAAGUUUAUGAUACUUCACUUGAAGAUAAAUUAUUGGAAGAGAUUGAGCAAAGUUUAAAAGCUCAAAUUGCUAAUGUUAAUAAGCUUAAGAAAGAAGGGAAAAUGCUUAAUUCCAAGAAUAAGAUGCAGGAGGAGUUGUUUAAAGCUUCGGAAGGUGUUCCGAGUGGGAUUCGUGUUCGUAUUAACAACCUUCCGAAGAAGAAGAAUAUCUACAGAGAUUUAAAGUCGGCCUUUAAAGGAGUACCCGGAAUGAUCAACAUAUCACCUGUGAAUUCCGGGAACAAGAAAACAAGGGAUCCUGUCUGCAAAGGCCUUGCUUUUGUCGAUUUCAUGUCCGUUAAGGAUGCAAACAGCUUUGUUCAGAUGUUCUCGGGCCAAAGUAUUGCCUUUGGCAAGACCGAGAAGCUGAUAAAGUGUGAAAUUCUAAAGCCGGUUGAUCCUAGUUUCGAAGGAUUACCUUAUGAUGGGUACAGCAGUGGUUCUGAGGCAACUUAUACUUUCUUAGAGGAGGAUGAAGACGAAGAUGAAGGUGAAGACGAUGACAAUGAUCAAAAUGAUACAUACUUAAACUCUGAAAAUCUUACCCUCGAGAAACAUGUAAAACACAUGGAAACGAUAGAAGCAAAAGUGGUUGCUAGAGCUUCGUCGUAUGAAGAGGAGACGAAGGCGGUUAAAAAGAUGCCAAAGCUCACAAAUCAGACGGAGGUUACACAUAAGCCAGAUAGGAAGCCAAGCCAGAAGACCAAUAAGAAACAGAACCUUAAGUCAGAUACAAAGCCAAAGCCUAUAAUACCGGGAUCUGCAAAGAAGUUGAAAGUCAAGGAGAAGGCUAAACUUGCAGAAGUUUUCUCUAGAUAUGGAACGAGAGAAGCCAAGGCCUCUAAAUAAACAUAAUUUUUUCGAUUUUGUGGACGAGAGAAGUCUUCUCCUAUAUUUCAGGACUACAUGAAAAACGGAAAGAGUAUGCUGCUUGACUGCAGAAGGAAAACAUAUGUGCUCUGUGGCCUGUGUAAGGAAGAGCUGCUGAAUGCUGAUACAUUUUUGGCCUGUUAGCUACAACUACAAGCAAAAAACAGAAUCCCAUUACUUUGACUCAACAUCUCUGAACCAGAAAUGGAAUUGGGAAUAGCAUUAUCUGUUGUGCAAACUCUCUUUGCUGCUCUGCAAUGUCCAAUGCUCAAAAAAAUCCCUUCCAUAUGGGGGCACAAAACUAAACUUGAUGAUCUCCAACGCACAGUCGCCACAAUCAAGGCCAUGUUAAGUGAAGCAGAGACCAAACAAGACUUCUCCGAUCAAGUGAAACUCUGGAUCGAGGAGCUCAAGGAUGCGGUUUAUGAUGCUGACGAUCUGUUCGAUGAGUUACUGACUAUCACUAAGCUGAAGCAGCUCAACGAAGAUGGGAAAACCUUCAAAAAGGUGCGGGAUUUCUUCUCUAGAUCUAAUCCUCUCAUUGCUGCUAACAAUGUGUCUCGACGCGUUGAGGAGAUCAGGGAGAGUUUGGAUGCUAUUGCUAGCAAUCACAACAAUUUUGGCUUUAAGGUUGAGUCUAAACAAAACAAGAGGAGAAGGGACGAGACUUGUUCUUAUGUAUACGAGGGUUAUACCGUUGGGAGAGAUGAUGAUGUCGAGAAAAUUGUUGGUUCUUUAAUAGAUCCUUGCAUUCCGAGUGAUGUAUCUUUCCUUACUAUCGUAGGGAUUGGAGGGUUAGGAAAAACUGCACUCGCUCAACUUGUGUAUAAUUGCAAGAGUUGCAAGUGUAUUUUCAUUAAGAUUGUGAGCU